UUAGCUGUAGGCUAUUAGCAUAACCAUUUGAAAUUAGCAGUUUAAAAAUGCAUCACAAUUUGCCCUGAGAAUCUACAAUGUAUUUUAAAGUAAGUUACACGAUUUAAUCUGCAACAGUUUAAUAGUUCAUAUAUCUAUUUACAGCUUUGACAACCAUUUAUAUAAGAUUGAGGAGGAUGGGUUAAUAAUUAAAUUAUCCCUGAUAGGUGGAAAAUGUGCUGUUACAACUCUCCCCAUGUUGCAACCAUACCCGGUCUCCUCCUAAUAAAAUGAUUAAAAAUCUAUCAGUAUUUUUUGUCUAUUAAAAUCUAUAUCCGUAUAAAAAUCUAAGAAUAUCAUCUAAAAUCAAAGAGUAUUUGCCGGUAGUGCGUUUGACUGAGGGACUUUUGUAUUAAAAUCAGUGGAGGACGGGUUGGAGACGUAUCCGGAAGUCGAGCGACAAAAGGCAGGAUGCUUUAUAACUGAGCAUUUCCUAAUAAUAUUAACUUAUUUAGAUCUAAUAAAUAAGCACGUGCUAGUUAUUUAAAUAAAAUAUGACGCUGCGUCAAAGAGCUUAAAUCUUGCAAUUUUGGAAGUGAAACUCUUUAGGCACAAUACCCUGAACACUAUUUAGGCUACUGAAAAGUUUCUUCAGUAACAGAGCUGUGGCGAUGGAGCAGCAGAAUGUAGUGGAGGCGGCUGGAGAGAGGGAGUCAGAUGCGGCAGAUGUGAUCGCGGAGCAGCCGUCCCUCUCUUUUCCAGAGGUGUUCCGCAUGAUUCAAGCAGGAGAGGAGGUUCCUGGACUCCAAAAGCUGGACAUAAAACCUUGUAAUGUACAGCCCACGGUUUCUCAAAUGCCCAGAAAGUCUAAACCAUGGGAAAAAUGAUUGCUUCCUAAUUCUAAAUUGUGGACUGAUUUACAACAUAUUUUGCUUUUAUUCAAGUCACAAAUUAAGUACUUUUUUUUUCAAGUAAAUUAUUUUAAUACAUAGCAAAAGCGGGAUGCUGAAUGGAAAAUAAAGCAUGCCUAACUUUUUCUGAUUUUGCAUCAAAAGCUGCCUGAAGAUGGUGGUAUUUGCAGCUCAACAGCUUUGGCCAGUUAAGACAAACCCAAAGCCUCUCAUGACUGUCAAGUGGUUCAUCAUGGUCUCAUGUGCUUGUGAAAGGGAAAUGCAAAAGGUUGACACACAUCCUGCUUCAGAGCUUAUUAGAGGAAGUGAACUUCACUCACAACUGGUCAACUAGCAGUCAAAUGUACAGAUCAGAAACUAGAUAACGCAUACCCGACUGCUGUAUUUUAUUUUUUUUAACUACAGAAUGAAUGGAUCAGAAUAGUUUGCUUAUGUUUUAAUAAAAGUUUAGUCACUGGCAAGUCAGAACUCAGUGAUCCGCUUUAUAUAAACAGCCUUUGAUAAGUACUUUAUUUGUCUUUCACAAAAAUAAUUUUGUUUUGAUGGUCAAUAAAAAGCUGAAAUUUAAA